rnacentral:rRNA from 1 species
UACAGAGGGGGCAAGCGUUAUUCGAAUUAUUGGGCGUAAAGGGCGCGUAGGCGGCUUGGCAAGUGGAAGGUGAAAUCCCUCGGCUUAACCGAGGAACUGCCCUCCAAACUGCUUUGCUUGAGGCCGGGAGAGGCGAGUGGAAUUCCCAGUGUAGCGGUGAAAUGCGUAGAUAUUGGGAGGAACACCAGUGGCGAAGGCGGCUCGCUGGACCGGUUCUGACGCUGAGGCGCGAAAGCGUGGGGAGCGAACAGG